CGGAUCCAGACUGAGCGACUCCCCCUCUCCGAGCCGGUCCCUCAGUGAAAACCAUAGCGGGGAGUGGGGGCGGGGACCGUGCGGUUCCUCUUGCUGAUACCGGAUUAAACUGUCCGGACUGGAGAGAGAUCAGAUUCAGCAAAAAAUCUGACAACUGGAGAAAAUGGCGGCAGCAAAGGUGCUGAGAGGGGUGAAGACUCGGCAGCUGAUUGGAUCCGGUUUGUGCUGGGGCGGGGUGAACACUGAUUGACAGGGCGACCCGGCAGCUGAUUGGCUUUGACUCUUCGCACCUGGACGUGAGGUGAUGACGUUCUCUGAAGGUGUCUGUUAAAUUGGAAUAUUCUGGAAACACUGAGCAGAUCAGGAGAGAAACAGUUAAUGAUUCCAGUUUAAUUCCCACAUUCUUCAAUAAAACCUCCCAAACCCACAACCUCCAGCCUCCCCGAGAAGGACAAGGGCAGCAGGAGCGUGGGAACAGCAUCACCUCCAAGCUCCCCUCCCAGUCACACACACACCACCUCGACUUGGAGAUAUACCGGCCGUUCCUUCAUCGUCACUGGGUCAAAAUCCUGGAACUGUCUCCCUAACGGCUUCGUGGGAGCUCCUUCACCACACGGGGCUGAAACGGGUGAAGAAGGCGGCUCAUCACCACCUUCUCAAGGGGCGUCUCGGGAUGGACAAUAAAUGGCUUUGCCAAAGAAACUCCCAUUUCAAAAAUUAAUAUAUCGUUGUAAAGAUUCCUUUUACAUCCAGUAGAUUGUGCUGCAUAAGGAAGACUCUUUUUAUAUGGACUGGUCCUUAUCCUGUCUUAACAAUUUGCUACCAGGAGGGUCCUGGCAGAUACAAUGGGUGGUGGGUUAAUUUCCACUUCAGUCAGACACCAGUUCCCAGCUGGAUGUCAGCCCAGUAUCAGAGACUGGAAUUCUCACCUAUGCUCACGGGGGUAGAGGGAACAAGGGAUUGGAAGAGGCAAGGGAUUGUAAUAAAGCGGGUAAAAAGUGUCUGGUGAAAAAGCUACAGUCAUGAGGAUGUUCAGUGUGUCUUGGACAUGAACCAAGACCAACAGCAACUAAAUGAAGUCAUGAAUGUGUCCUUGCUACAGAAGUAAACUCAAUCACAACAAUGAGGAAGUUCCAGGUUAUCCUGAAGUGUGGAUGCCAUUAAACGUCUUGUCUUGAGGCCACACAUGUUCUGAAUCAUAGCGACACGAGGAGAGACCCCCAACCAGCAGUUCAACAUAUCUCAGACAGGGACACAACUUACGGAAACUACUCCUGUUGCUGCUGCUGUUCAAUGUUGUUGUUGCCGCUUUAGUGCCUAUUGAAGGAGCAGCAAAUAUAACUGAAUAGACGUGUGACCGAUGAUCAGAGGCCUGUGCUGAAAAGUGGAUUGAAAGAUAUUUGCCAAGGGUCAAAUUGCACUGGGAAUUACAGGGCAGGUUUUAAUAAGUCCAGCUGCUACUACAUGUGCAUCCAAGAUUUCACAUCCAACCAAUGCAUCCAAAGAAAAUCUUCAUCUCUUGUUUGGGAAGGCUGAGUUCACCGAGUUGAUAGCUGUUACAUUCGGUUCUG